GCCUGGGUGGCUCAGUUGGUUAAGCAUCCGACUUCAGCUCAGGUCACGAUCUUGCAGUCCGUGAGUUCGAGCCCCGCCUCGGGCU
rnacentral:tRNA from 1 species